rnacentral:rRNA from 1 species
UACAGAGGUCCCAAGCGUUGUUCGGAUUCACUGGGCGUAAAGGGUUCGUAGGUGGCCAACUAAGUCAUACGUGAAAUCCCUCAGCUUAACUGGGGAACUGCGUCUGAUACUGGUUGGCUUGAGUGCAGGAGAGGAACGCGGAAUUCCAGGUGUAGCGGUGAAAUGCGUAGAUAUCUGGAGGAACACCGGUGGCGAAGGCGGCGUUCUGGACUGCAACUGACACUGAGGAACGAAAGCCAGGGGAGCAAACGGG